UACGUAGGUGACAAGCGUUGUCCCGAUUUACUGGGCGUAAAGAGCGCGCAGGCGGUCGAUCAAGUCGAGUGUGAAAGCCCCCGGCUCAACUGGGGAGGGUCAUUCGAUACUGAUCGACUCGAAGGCAGGAGAGGGUAGUGGAAUUCCCGGUGUAGUGGUGAAAUGCGUAGAUAUCGGGAGGAACACCAGUGGCGAAGGCGACUACCUGGCCUGUUCUUGACGCUGAGGCGCGAAAGCUAGGGGAGCAAACGGG
rnacentral:rRNA from 1 species